UCGGGAAUUUUGGGCAAUGGGGGAAACCCUGACCCAGCAACGCCACGUGAAGGAUGAAGUAUUUCGGCAUGUAAACUUCGAAAGAAUAGGAAGAAUAAAUGACGGUACUAUUUAUAAGGUCCGGCUAACUACGUGCCAGCAGCCGCGGUAAUACGUAGGGACCAAGCGUUGUUCGGAUUUACUGGGCGUAAAGGGCGCGUAGGCGGCAUGACAAGUCACUUGUGAAAUCUCUGGGCUUAACCCAGAACGGCCAAGUGAUACUGUCGCGCUAGAGUGCAGAAGGGGCAAUCGGAAUUCUUGGUGUAGCGGUGAAAUGCGUAGAUAUCAAGAGGAACACCUGAGGUGAAGACGGGUUGCUGAGCUGACACUGACGCUGAGGCGCGAAAGCCAGGGGAGCAAACGGGAUUAGAUACCCUUGUAGUCCCUGAGCGGGCUGGCAAGGCGCAU
rnacentral:rRNA from 1 species